rnacentral:rRNA from 1 species
CGGCGGACGGGUGAGUAACACGUGGAUAACCUACCUAUAAGACUGGGAUAACUUCGGGAAACCGGAGCUAAUACCGGAUAAUAUAUUGAACCGCAUGGUUCAAUAGUGAAAGACGGUUUUGCUGUCACUUAUAGAUGGAUCCGCGCUGCAUUAGCUAGUUGGUAAGGUAACGGCUUACCAAGGCAACGAUGCGUAGCCGACCUGAGAGGGUGAUCGGCCACACUGGAACUGAGACACGGUCCAGACUCCUACGGGAGGCAGCAGUA